ACCAGCUUCAGCUAUGAAAAAGCAUAUACAUACACUUUCAAAAUCCAUAUCAUAAAUUUCUAGGGUUUGAAUUUUCAAAUGCAAAUCCAUUCUUUUUCUUCUUCUUCUUCAUAGAUCAGAGAGAGAGAGAGAGAGAGUGUGUGUGUGAUAAAUUGAAAUGAUAAUGCCAAGGCAGAAUCGGGUUGUGGAGGGUUUGAUUCUCGGAUCCUGCAAGAUCCGAAAAAGGGGUUGCUCUUCGUCUUCGUCCUCUGUGUUGCAGAAUUACCAAUUCAAGCGGGCCAUUUUGGUGGGUAAGCCUCGGGGAUCCAGAUCGAGCACUCUGGUUCUGUCUUGGAGGACGGCGGCGGCGGCUUUGGAUUCUCCCAAGUACGUGCCGUCGCAGAGCGGUGGUGGGAGGUCGAGGCCAGUGUUUGCGAGGAAGCUGGCGGCGACGCUGUGGGAGAUGAAUGAGGUUCCGUCGCCUAGGGUUGGGGACAAUUUGGAAGAGAAGAAAGCGAUCAAGAGAGAGAUGAGAGUUAGAGAGAGAAUGGGGGUGCCGAGAUCGGUGCAUUCGGGUUCUCUACCUCCGCAUUUGUCUGAUCCAUCUCACAGUCCUGUUUUAGAGGUACUGUAUGCGUUGGGGUCUGCUACCCCCUACAAAAAAAUUACGGGAAUGUGCUUGGAAAAAGCUUUACAUCCAGGUGAAUGAUGACCGGAUUAUUCUUGACAAGACUCUUACUGAUCAAGUGUCUAUAUGGAAAAACAUCAGAGGCCUGACUGAUAAGGUGGUCUUGGACCAUGAUUGCUCUGGAGAAACAUGUACUUACUCACAAAUUGGAGAUGUAUUUGUUUGUGAGAAGACUGGGCAGGUUCAUGUUUGUGAUGAUACAUGUAGAGAAGCUGUUUUGGACCCUACAAAUGAGCUUUUGGUUUGUACAAUAUCUGGACAUUGUUUUGAUAGAUUUCUGUCACCAGCUGAAAUGGAACCAGACACUGAUUGCUGAAAAGGUUAACGAUAGAUGGGAGAUAUGUGUCAGUCUUACCGAAUGUUGUACCAGGUCAAAGGAAGAUCCUUUUCUGUUCUUUCAAGUGCAACUUUGUGAAGGAAGCAAAAGUUGCUCAAUUCUCUGGUUAUGUAUCUGAGCAUUCAGCUUACCUUCAUGGUGAGCAGAGUCUUGCCAGUACCAUUAUUGGCAUGGCACAAGAUUAUGUGGGCAGCAAUAACUUAAACCUGCUUCAACAAAACGGUCAAUUUGGCACUCGCCAUCAGGGAGGCAAAGAUCAUGCGAGUGCUAGGUACAUAUACACUCAGCUUUCUCCUAUCACACGGUUCAUGUUCCCCAAGGAUGAUGAUAUACUUCUUGAUUACUUGAAUGAAGAUGGGCAAUCUAUUGAACCUAUCUGGUGGAUUCUGUAGUUUACCUUGUUGACGCGCAUGACAAAAAGAGAUUUGCAGAGGC